rnacentral:rRNA from 1 species
GACUUCGCAGUUCCAAAAUUAUUGUUAAGUGAAAAUAAGGUAGUGUUUAUCCAAGCCAACCAGGAAAUGGGCUUAGGAGCGGCCAUUUUUUAAAGAUCUCGUAACAGAGCACUGGUUUUAUACAUUUUUGUAUGUAUUGUUAGAUGCACCUAAAAUUUAACGGAUCUAAAUAAUAUACCGAGACCUUGUCCAUAAAUAUUUAUAUGUACAAGUUACAUAUAAUAUUUAUGGGGUAGCGGAACAUUGGGCAUAUCUCAGAUUUUUUCUUUUUAAGACUUAAGAUUAGAUGACCCAAGUGAUAAUGCUGACAUGAGUAACGAUAAAGGGUUUAUACCCUCGCCUAAAGCUUAUGGAAUUUACUUAAAGUAACGGCCUCUAAGUUUAAAUUUGCUAUAGUUUAAACAAACAACACUUGAUACCUAACUCUAACAGACGAUACAAGUGCAAAAUAGUAAACACCUAAUGGUAUAAACGAUGAGAAAAAGCUAAGUUUUACAGAUAUAAAUAGCAUGAGUGUUGCAGGUAGGUAUUAUAUAUAUAAUGGAUUUUUUUUUAUUCUUUUUAUGCGUUAUUAUCCUUUCAMUAUUCCWGAAUAGUGCAAGGGAUAAAAAGUAAAUAAAAUAAUUAAUAGAAACUAGAAAAAUUAUAGAUUUAAUAGUUAUUUUGUGCUAAAGUGACAAAUGCUCUGGAAAAAUGUAAAACUACUGACGUGUUAGAGAGUAGGCGAGGUUCAAUCCCUUGUCCAUUAAU